rnacentral:lncRNA from 1 species
GCACCAGUCACCUCGGGAGUGAAACGGGGCGAACAGUAUCCCUCCCCCGGAUCGAACUCGCUAACAUUUGUGACGCGCUCAGACUGUGCUGGCUGGGUCAGGCGUUCAACAAAUGUUAGCCCUCCUCAUCCUCAUCAUUCUGACGGCGCGCCGCCCGGCGGCCCCUGACAGCACCCACCCUGUGGACCCUCCCCUCGCUUCUGCCUCAGUUUGCAGGCUCCCUUCCUUGAGAGCCACACUGCCCAGGGCUGGGGGGGACCCGGGACCUCGCACCCUUGGCCCUUUCUGCUGCCCGUCACCCUGUCACCUGAAGGACAGACCCCUGCACGUGGGCUCUGGGCUAGGCCCUGCGUGCGAGGAGUGGGGUGGCCAGGUGGUGAAGAGCGUGGCUUCCAGGCCACGGCCACCUGCUCGCUGGGAGACGGAGAGAAGCCGCUUCAGUGCCUCCCGCUCCUCACCUGCAGAGCCGGGUGGCUGGCGCCUCCUGGGACUCUCUGAGGCCCCAUGUGGCCCCCUGAGAGCUGUGCCUGAGAGCUGUGUGCGGCAGGCUCUCCUGCUUUGGCUGCACUGUCCUCGUCAGGGGCUGGGAGCUCGGGUGAGGACAGGAGGGCAGGGAGCUGUGUCUGGUCAGGAGCCUCUGUCGGACUCAAGGGCACAGAAGCCCCACCACUUCCGGGAGCUCCCUGAAGGGUGGGCCGGGCACACUGCCACCAUCUAACCUUGUCUCCCUCGCCCUCUUCCUGGCCCCACCCGGCAGUGGCGAUGGAUGAUGAGGAUGGGAGAUGCUUACUAGACGUGAUCUGGUGAGUAACGGCUCCCGCCUCCGUCCCAGACGCCCGCCCUCCCGCCUGCCCAGCUCACCGCCUCAGUGCCCCUCUCUCUUCUCUUCCAGUGACCCUCAGGCCCUCAAUGACUUCUUGCAUGGGUCGGAGAAGCUGGACAGUGAUGAUCUCCUGGAUGCCCCCGGGGAGGCCCAAAGUGCCUUCUAUGAAGGUCCUGGGUUGCAGACCUCAGACCAAAGCCCAGAGCAGCCUCUUCCCAGUCCACCACUGUAAGUGUCAAUCACUGUGUACUUACUCUGCACCUGGCUCCUUGUGGCGAUUGUCACUUAGUCCUCAGAGCAACUCUAAUAUUAGAUUCAAACAUCAUAGUGUAGGUGAUUAAAUUCAGAAACACAACAGUGGCACCUCCUGUAGUGUGAUUAUGUUUAUAGACCCAGCAGCAACAUUGGCCUAGGCGUUUACUAUUUUAUGGUCAUUGUUCUAGUCAUAACUGUCGUCCUUUUGUAGCUGUGGGGUCCCUGGCUGAGUCGUGAGUUCUGCCCGCAGGUGAUAUCUUUCCACACCGAUCUGGGGCUUACUGGCCUUUUCCUCGGGCAGUUAGAGGCACCGCCUGCCUGGCCUUCAAGGUUGGGGGCUGAGAGGAGCCCUGUCCCACCAGCCCCGUCCCCUCUCACCAGCUGGGACUCUGGGCCUCCCCGUCUGGAAGCCAGGCUGGGAGCAUUGCCCACCUCCCUGAGCUGCUGUUGACAUCCCAGGAGGCAGUGAUGGUGACCGUGGCAUCUCUCACACUCGUGCCACGUGCCAGGCAGUGCUGUGAGCUCUGUGGAUCAGGAUCUUUCCAAGUGCAGGAUUCCUCCCCCCGCCUCCCUUUUUUUCUUUUGUGGUUCUGGGAAUUAAAUCCAGGGCCCUCACACUGAGCUACAUCCCAGGUCCCCCCCGCCCCCAUUAUUUUUUAUUUUUAAGUCAGGGUCUCACUAAGUUGCUCAGGCUGGGCUUAAAUGUGUGAUCCUCCUGUCUCAGCCUCUCAGAGGGCUGGAAUUACAGGCCUGCACCACUGCACCUGGCUUCCAACUGCAGGUUUAGAUCCAUUCUCUGGGCAAAGAUCACUGGCUGAGGCACCCCAGCCUCAGUGUGGCCUGUGGAGCGCUGGUCAGUUGUGCAUGCUUGUAUUUCUAGGUGCAAGACCUGGAUCUCCAGGUCUCCAGGAGCAGGAGAAACAGUUGAGAAAUGCUCCACACAUGGUGCAUUUGGCACCAGCGCUCAGAUGGCAGCUGCUGCCACCAUCAUUGCUGUGGUUUUUUGUUUUGAGACAAGGUCUCAACAGGCUGCCUUGAACUAUGUAGCCCAGAUUGGCCUUGAACUCAGUGAUCCUCCUGCCUCAGCCUCCCGAGUGCUGGGAUUACAGGUGUACACAACGCCACCCAGCAUUGCUGUGGUUUUUAACCCAGCCUCUGUCCUUCAUUGGACACCUCUGGGGCCAGGCGUGUUUUAGAAAUGCAGAAUUUUUCAGAUUCUGGAAUGGGG